UGCAUUUAAGCGUUAUUCAGCGUAGUCUGCGGUCGCGAAUUUCUGCUUUGAGAUUAGAACUUAUUUUGUCGACUGGAAGUAAUAAUAGGAUGGCGAGCUUUUUCCACAUUCGCUGACGUGUAGGUCAGGUGACGGUGCUGAGAAGAUGGCGUCGCCGAGUGCGGGUGCAGACUUGGAGCAGUCGUUGCUGAGUUUUGAGAAACUGGACCGAGCUUCACCAGAUUUAUGGCCGGAACAAAUGCCAGGGGUAGCAGAAUUUGCUGCAUCUUUCAAAAGUCCCAUUACCAGCUCUCCACCCAAAUGGAUGGCAGAACUUGAGAAAGAUGAUAUUGACAUGCUGAAAGAGUUGGGAAGUCUUACAACUGCAAACUUAAUGGAGAAAGUACGAGGGCUCCAGAAUCUUGCAUAUCAGCUUGGACUAGAUGAAUAUGCUGCAGAGCGUAGGACCAGGGGGAUGUUGCCCACCGUAGAUCCAUUUCGGCAGUGGGCAGUUUGCAAUGGUUGAAGCUGAAAAGCUGAAGUCGAUACAUGUUAUCACCAGCAACCUUGAUGAAUUUCUUGAUGCACGAGAAAUGACAAGAGGAAAGUUCUUAAACAUCUUGGAACGGCCCAAGAAGUAGCUGUAUAACUGCAAACAGCUUGCUUCUGCAAGAAGACUCAGCACUUGUUCAGAGACAGUCACUGUCUGCUUCAGAUCUACAAAUGCCUUCACGUGGCAUCUGUUCAAACUGCCUAUAUAAUAGUGCAACACAAGACCACAUUUUGUGAAGAACUCAUCUUUUAGCCUGCAAGGCAAAUUGUUUUUAAAGGCAAACAGAGAUCACAAUUAGUGUCAAAGGGACAGAGUUUGGUUUAUCACAUGCAUGUUAAAUAACAAAGUUAUUAUUGUGGUGUACUAAUCUAGAUAUAUUUUCCAUAAUCUACUGUUCUCCUGCAGCAGCGGUGAGGUUAUGCAGAAUGAUAGCACUUUAGUUAAAGACAUGUGAUUCUUAACAGCACAUGUCCAUCUUUACAAAAUAGUAUUACUUCUGACGGGGUAACAAAUUACAAAAAUAUACAGUGCCUGGGUAUGCAAUUAAACUGCUACCACAAUUCUCACUUCUGAAUACCAUGUAGAUUAAUGCAAGACAGUGCAUUUCAAAAGACGUAACAAUCUUCUAGGUUUCAGAUGAGGUCUGUCGAGCAUUCAGCAUUUCUGAUAAUUUGAGAGAUCAUCUUGUUUUUAUUAUUUUGCUGCCUUGCAGUGUUUUUUAAUCCAUAUAUUGUGAUAGGAUCUAUAAAAAAUUUAGUUGACUCUGUACUGAACUGGUACUCUUCAAAGUAAAACAGCAAGAAGGUUUAGUUGGAAAUUCUCAUGUUACAUUAAAGUACAUUUUCCACCAUCAUGCUAUAAAAGACUGGGCUGGCAAACCAAAAAAAAAUUAGAAGGAGGAAACAAGAUAAGGUAUAUAAAUAACAUGCCCAUUGACAAAACCGAGCAAUUAAAAUUGUUUCUGGAUCUUUUUGAUCCAGAGAAAGGCCAUAUGAAAAAAAUUGGAAAGAGUACAACAGGUAAGAAAUUCUGAUUUAAAUGAAUUUUCCAGGGAAGUAAAUUUCACUUUCUGUCUGCUUUUUAUUCUUUAGUAUCACAUUAAAAUUGACACAUUUAAUUAUUGCCUGAUUAACUUUGAAAGAAAAAAAAACUUACUUUGUUUUGCUGACCCUUCCUCCGGGAGGACUUAGUCUGUAAUGUUCUGUGAUCAACUUGAAGGUUUAUUUAAAGUAGGCUGCUAAGAUUGUAGGUGAAUUUUUGGGACAGGGUUAUAUUAAAAAAAAUAUAUUUUAAACCAAAUUUUGAUUGAAUAUUUUAUAUUUGAGGUAAAGAACAUAAAGCUAAGCUCUUGAUGUACUUUAUGGUAACCUUACACAUCUGGGACAGAUGUCAUUAGAAAUCUUGGGGAGUGGAAGGACUCCAAAUUUUCAUAUCCAGUCUGAUGUGUUGCUCUGCAAGAUAUUGUUCAGCCCAGUCUAAUAAACACAUGAUAAGGUGAAAGCCAUCCUCUAAGAAUGUAUUUGUAGCCUUAUUGAGCUGAAGUCCAAUGUUUUGGAAUAAGGAUCAGGGCGAGAUGAUAGGAAUAGACUGACGACGGAUAUAGCUGGAAACUUGACCACUGAAGCAGUUUGGAGGCAUCCCAAACAGAUUAGGCCUUACAGUUUUAUUUGUAAAAGGAUUGGCUCCCAAGUCUCAGUCACAUGUAUCUUUGAGGCCUCUCUUCAAUGGAUUUUUACUUAUGUAGAUGUAUCUGGACUAUUGCUGUUUAAGUUUUAUGCUUGGGUUUAGUUUUUUUUAGACGUGUGAAACAGGACUUAUUUUCUUCAGCAGUCUUGUGCACUAAUUAGUCAAAUACUUCUAUGAUACAUUUUAUUUUUGAAUUAAUAAAUGUGAAUUACUUUUAAAAAAUCUUCUCAAUCAUUUGAAUGCAGCCCUUGGAAAUAAAUAUUUAAUUGAAAAUCAACCACUAUUGCAUUUUCUAAUAAAUAGUUUACUAUGUCCAUGUGGGCAAAUGAGAUUGACUUCUGGGAGGUGUUUUUUAAAUGAUUUUCUGCCUUUAUGGGGAGAAAUAAGGGUGGAGAUUAAAAUGAGGGAGAGUGUUGUAAAAGGAAUGUUUUGGAGCAAAUUAUUUAUUAAUUGUCAUUGUAAAUAUAAUCCAAAAAAUGCUGUAGUGUGCAUCUUGUCCUGAACGACUUUAACUGGAUUUCCAUUGUCCUUCAGAUUGCUCCAUGUUUAUGCUGUUCAUUGUUUGAAAAUUUGAUUUGUUUCACCUGUCAAAUGAAAGAAGUGGAUAAAGAAAAAUAACAAGGAAAUAGCAAUGACCAAUUAGGGUGAAUCUAGUGGAGAAAAGAUGACUAAAAGAAAAAUACACAUUAAUUAUGUUUGUGAGUGUAAUUUUGCUGUUUGUGAAAUUAAGAAUGAAUGGUGUCAAAUGUUAAAUGUUCUUGAGCUAUUGGGAAGUAGACAGUCGCGGAUGCUGGCAAUCUGAAUUUAAAAUGUAGAAUCUUUGAAGUAACACCAUCUGCGGAGAAUUGAGAUGCUUUUCUCUCUCUACAGAUGGUGCCUAACAUGCUGAGUAUUUUCAGCUUUCAUUUUAGAUUUCCAAUAUCUGCAGAGUUUUGCAUUUUUAAGAUUUUUGUAUUGGAUGGCUUUGGCAUUGCUUUUUCUUUUUCUACUUCGGUUUUCAAGCAUCUUCCUCUGUUUACACCUUCUUCAGAUAGAUUAUCACUCAUUUCAUUCAAAUCCCUGUUAGUCACCACCUAUGUUCCCUCUAAGCUGUGCGCGUACACACGUUUUUCAACCAGCGCACAAAGGAAAUUAAUGUGUGCACAAAAGGUUAGUUACCUAAAAUAAUGUAGUAAUUAAUAAUUAUUGAAAAUAAUCUUUUAGUUGAAUGUUACUGUUAACUAGUUAGUCGGUUUUUCAAAUACCACAAUGCACGUCACUAAUUUAUAUCACCUCACCUUUCCUGUUCUGGUUUGUACAGCUCCAUCACGGCAGCCAUCUUUGGCGGACAGUGUUCCUAUCGUAAAGUUUACAAAGAUCUGUUUCAAAUCCUGUAGGUAGCUUACUAAGUUUUCAUUGGAAAAAAAAAUUGAUUCACUAUGUUGAAUUCAAAAGAAGCGAAGGGCGUGAAGCGCAAAAGAGCUGCAAAUUUGUUUAAAGUUGAAUGGCUUAACAAAAUAGUAGAAACUGCUGCACCGAAAACAUCACAGUAGAUACAAGUUCGCUGUUCAUUUUUAUAAAUAGUCCUUGUGUUCAUUUAGGAGAAAAGUUGCCUGAAGAUGAAGUACAAGAAUGGUCAGCUUUUGAUUUCUCCGCAAUUGCAGAUUGUGACUUCACAUUUGGCGAUGAACAAGUUAAUGCCAUAUGUCUAAAAUAUCAUGAUGUUUUUAGCUGAAA